AUGGGCCCUUCUCCGCCGUCGUUGACAUGGUCGCAACUCGAGAUCCGCUUGCUGCAUGACCCGCGCGAGCCUCCACGCCGCGCCAUAGGGGUGGCGCUGGGAAUCUCCAGCAGUGCCUCCCUGGAGGAAAGGGAGGGGGAGAAUGGAGGAAUUGAUGGUAGUUCCCGGCGGUGGGGAGAGAAGAAUGCGGGGGGAGUGAGGGAGAAGGAAGAAAGACAGCGGAGUGGGGGAAGGGAAGCCGUUCGCGGCGAUGUGCGUAUUUCCCGAACGAAAAAAGGGUCUGACGUGGCUAAUCACCUUGCUCCAAGAUUCGUGCUAAUGAUCCAAGGGUAUAAAACACGUUCGGGCUGGGAUCCUAAAAUCCUGACGUUCGGCAGUUAUCUUAUUCCAAAAAAUAAAGAAAGAAAAAAGAAAAUUAAAACAUGA
rnacentral:rRNA from 1 species